UCGAGUCACCAACACACUCGCAGCGCGCUCCCGUGUGUUGUUCCCCGGCCGCCGAUUUCGGGUGUCGUGUGACCUGUGACGCGAGUCCGAAACCGGUUCUCCCCGAAUCGGAGUUUCCGAGGUCUGGGCACGUGCGAGGCGCCCCCUUGUGCUUUGUGUCGAGCGCCCCCCCGAAAAGGGCCGCGGUUUUCGGAAGGUUUUGUUUCGAACUCGGCGAGGAGGGGAUCCGUCUCCUUCUGGGUGUUUUCGCAGGAAUUUUAUGAGUUUUAAAGCGAACUUGCUUGUGUGACUACUGACAUCAAAACCGUAUUCUACGAAGACAAACACUCGAUUUUUCGCUGCAAUACUUGCAUCAGUUGCCCACAAACAAUUACUAAUGAGCAAUACUCACAAACUGUGAAAAUCGCAAUCCUUAAUUUUACCCGUCACUCGUCAGUCAAAAAUUUCGAGGAUAUCUCUCGUUGAGUUUCAUCAUUGUUUGAAACCAAACCAAAUUGCGAAAUCUAUCUUUAGACAUUGUUAGUAACGAUUACUAAGGACACCGUACUUGAAAUUCGGUGCUUUUAUCCCGCCUGGAGCAAGCUGCCAGUAGGCGACUCAAACGCUCGGUUAGAAAAAAGUAAAAAUCAGCUAUUGUCGCAUUUCGACACUCUCACAACUUGGAACUUUUAAAGUCGUGCACGUUUCAGUUUCAGUGACUUUAAUUCUCGGUAAAACAAAGUGGGUUCGAAACUUCGAACUUUGAUGGAAUGAUAAGUUCGAGAACCGUUCGGAUUGAGUGAUUCCUACCGAUCGCGGCUGGUGUCAAUUUAAAUUGGUGCAUUGCGACUUUCUAUUAUUCCACUUGGAGCAAGCUGCCAGUAGGCGACUCAAACGCUCGGUUAGAAAAAAGUAAAAAUCAGCUAUUGUCGCAUUUCGACACUCUCACAACUUGGAACUUUUAAAGUCGUGCACGAUUCAGUUUCAGUGACUUUAAUCAUCGGUAGAAGAAAAUGGGUCCGAAACUUCGAGCUUUGAUGGAAUGAUAAGUUCGGAUUGAGUAACUCUUAUUGAACUUAAGUCGUGCACGUUUCAGUUUUAGUGACUGUAAUCAUCGGUAGAGUAAAGUGGGUUGGAAACUUCGAACUUUGAUGGAAUGACAAGUUCGGAUUGAGUAGCAUUCAGCGAUCGCAAUUGUAAUUUCGGGAUCUUCGGGAUGGAGCCUGUGGCGGGACCCCGGAAGGCGGUGUAAUCCCGGAGGAUUCGGUCGGUAGGGGUGCGCGAUCUCGGCGGUAGACCUGGAGACAUCCGGCGUGAUAGUUGUGAACCCCAACCCGAAGCUGGCUGAGAGCGAGUCCGCGCCGGCUCCACCCUCCGCACCCUCGCCCGCACCCGCGGCGCCCGCGACGCCCGCCGCGACGCCUCCCGCGAAGGCCGCCAAGGGCCGAGAUGAUCAGUCCACGCCUUCCCCUCCGAUGGGCAUCAUGACAGGUGAGCGAAAUAUACUUAUUUGAGACUGCAUGCGUAACUUAUCUAUGAAGGGAUCCCCUUAACUGUCAAAUCAGGUGGAUGCCCUCUUUCAAUCAAUGAGACCAGGUAAGAAGAUGUAUUGAAAAGACACGAGUAAUGUGCUGGAAGUAUAUUUUCAGGUUUAUUAUUUUUUUUUUUUUUUUUUUUUUUUUUUUUUUUUUUUUUAUUUUUUAUUUUUAUUUAAAUGUAAGUCUCGGAAUCGAGGUUUUUCAAAUUAAUUUUUUGAUUUGAACGCUUUUCGACGUUUUCAUUCUACCCAAAGUUUCCAAAAACUUGCCGUCUUUUAUAGCCUUCAAUACCUACGAUUUAAAGAAUGAAUGCUCCAAUUUUCUCAUAUUUUCAUCAGUCGAGCUUUUCAGCUUCAAAGCUUACUAAUUACCAAAAACUUAAUCAUGUUCACUCUACACUGGAAAAAAGCCUCUCGGGUCUAGUGUCCAGACUCUUAAAAAAAUCGACAAG